CUGUGUCCCCAGUCCUUUACUCUUUCCUUGACUAAAGCUUUCAUUGGAGCAAUAUAAACUACUUUCGACUUAGGAUAAUUGUGAAGAGCUCUCCAAGUAGCUAAUUCUGCGGCCAUAGUUUUACCAGAUCCAGUAGGUGCACCAACGAAAAUAUUUGUAUCGGUGUGAUAAAUAGUGUGAAAAAAUUGAGUUUGGACUGCAUUAAAAAACGAGAAUCUUUUAGCGCAUAUACCUUCUAGCACUGGAUCGUGCAAAGCCGUAAUUGGUAAAGGUUGAAGAUCCAAUAAUUCUGUAAUGGGAUUGGAAUCGUCAUGAAAAACAACAUUAGAAAGAGAAACCGGGGUAACUGUU